rnacentral:lncRNA from 1 species
AAAAAAAAAAAAAAAAAGAAAUUCAAGUGAAAAGCAUUAUAUUCAGAUAAAAAGGCAACGGAGACAAGGGCAAAAAGAACAAGUAAUCAUCAGAAACAAGGAAAGCAAGACAACAGGCAAACAAAAUCCUAAGUGCCUAGGGGUUGGGAGGCGGAGGCAUUCUCUGAAGCAAUUGAGCUAGCAUGUUCUGAAUGUUGUCGUUGAGAGUGUCUUGUUUAUCCAUUCUGGCACGGAGUUCCUUCUGAUCUUUCUUCAGUUCUUCCAGCGUCUGGAGAACCAUAGGAA